rnacentral:rRNA from 1 species
UACGGAGGGAGCUAGCGUUAUUCGGAAUUACUGGGCGUAAAGCGCACGUAGGCGGCUUUGUAAGUUAGAGGUGAAAGCCUGGAGCUCAACUCCAGAACUGCCUUUAAAACUACAUCGCUUGAAUCCAGGAGAGGUGAGUGGAAUUCCGAGUGUAGAGGUGAAAUUCGUAGAUAUUCGGAAGAACACCAGUGGCGAAGGCGGCUCACUGGCCCGGUACUGACGCGUCAGG